rnacentral:tRNA from 1 species
AAAAUAUAAAUACUUAGUAUACCAGACUUCCAAUUUGGUAGACCCUCAUCGGAUAUUUUA